CACUCCCUUCUCCAGGGGAUUGCCCAAACCCAGGGAUCCAGCCCAGGUAUCAGGCAUUGCAGGCAGAUUCUUUCCCAUCCGAGCCCCCAGGGAAGCUUAGUGAGGGGGCAGUAAACAAAUGUACAUGGUGUUUCCGGAGUGCUAUACGGGGGAGGGAUGAAAUAGACAAGAGGAGGACAUGGUGAGAACUGGAGAGGACCCCCAGCAGAGCGUGGGCAGAGAAGAUCUCUAGGAGGCAGUGUGCAUGUUGAGUCUCGAACCUUGGGGGAAAACCACCUAAGACUCAAGCCAGGAAAAGAACAUUCCAGCCAAAGGAAAAGAGCAGGUGUCAAGGCGUUUGGGCAGAAGACAUUUUGGUCUAUUUGAAAUUAUAGGUGUAGGGAACUAGGUUUAAAGAAGGUUGAGAAGUGCUUGCAAACGAGACUCUCAACCAGGGCUGGACAUUCUUGCAAACGAGAUGUUCUGCCCAGUGUAGGGAACUAGGUUUAAGGAAGGUUGAGAAGUGCUUGCAAACGAGACUCUCAACCAGGGCUGGACAUUCUUGCAAACGAGAUGUUCUGCCCAGUGUAGGGAACUAGGUUUAAGGAAGAUUGAGAAGUGCUUGCUAACGAGACUGUCAACCAGGGCUGGACAUUCUUGCAAACGAGAUGUUCAGCUAAAAAUCCUGUUUGUUCCCAUGGGAAAAGAACAUUGCUUGCACACAAGGAUGUUUCUCUGAUUCCUCAAAAGGAACAGACCUUGGGACAAAAUGGAUUCUAAGUUGAUAAGGAAGUUCCCCAAAAUAAAGUCUUAGCUGCAGUAAAUAAGCCAAGGUAAAGGUUAUCUCGCCCUGCGCCUGCGCACUGUAUAGUCUCUGAAUCGUAGUGCUUGGCAGCUUGCCCUGUAGGUUGUUGUGCAAGGGAUAUAAAAAUUAAGCAGCUGUAAGAAGCAAGAGUUAAAAUAUAAAGAUUUAAACCACUCUGCAGUGUUGGUGUUUCAUUCCGUCGCCGGCAAUAGGAAAAGCCAUCUAGUAAAAGGGGGACUCGCGGAAGAAAA
ensembl:lncRNA